rnacentral:rRNA from 1 species
GACGAACGCUGGCGGCGUGCCUAAUACAUGCAAGUCGAGCGAAGAAGAUAGGUGCUUGCUCCACUUUGAAGAGCAGCGAACGGGUGAGUAACGCGUGGGGAAUCUGCCUUUGAGAGGGGGACAACAUUUGGAAACGAAUGCUAAUACCGCAUAACAACUUUAAACAUAAGUUUUAAAAUUGAAAGAUGCAAUUGCAUCACUCAAAGAUGAUCUCGCGUUGUAUUAGCUAGUUUGUGAGGUAAAGGGCUACCAAAGCGAUGAUACAUAGCCGACCUGAGAGGGUGAUCGGCCACAUUGGGAAUUGGACACGGCCCAAACUCCUACGGGAGGCAGCAGGAGGGAAUCUUCGGCAAUGGACGAAAGUCUGACCGAGCAACGCCGCGGGAGGGAAGAAGGUUUUCGGAUCGUAAAACUCUUGUGGUAGGGAAGAACGUUGGUGGGAGUGGAAAGCUCAUCAAGUGACGGUAACUACCCAGAAAGGGACGGCUAACUACGUG